UGAGGAAUCUUGCGCAAUGGGGGAAACCCUGACGCAGCAACGCCGCGUGAGUGAGGAAGGUCUUCGGAUCGUAAAGCUCUGUCAGUUGGGAAGAAAUGCCUGUUGGUUAAUACCCUUCAGGCUUGACGGUACCAACAGAGGAAGCACCGGCUAACUCCGUGCCAGCAGCCGCGGUAAUACGGGGGGUGCAAGCGUUGUUCGGAAUUAUUGGGCGUAAAGCGCGUGUAGGCGUCCUGAUGUGUCAGAUGUGAAAGCCCUGGGCUUAACCCAGGAAGUGCAUUUGAAACUGGCAGGCUCGAGUAGGGGAGAGGGAAGUGGAAUUCCUGGUGUAGAGGUGAAAUUCGUAGAUAUCAGGAGGAACACCGGUGGCGAAGGCGACUUCCUGGCCCUAUACUGACGCUGAGACGCGAGAGCGUGGGUAGCAAACA
rnacentral:rRNA from 1 species